rnacentral:lncRNA from 1 species
CUUACCUGUGACUGUAGAGUACUAGCAGUAGGCUUAACGCUGACUGCCUGACUGCCAGGGGCCAGAACAAGUGCUUUUUGUUUUUCAUCUUGGGUGCCACUCUGUCAGGGUUAGGUUUGUGAUGGGAAUAUUAAGACUAGUCCCUCAGAAACCAAACAUCUACCCAUUCAACUUUCAUUUUUAGGGGUAGAAAUGUAAAGUUGUUUCUGCCUCAGGAAACAAGUAUGUAUCAGGAAUGGUAGUUCAUACCAACAUGUUUAAUGCUGAGCAAAAAGAGAUUAUUCUUUCAGGAUAUUUUAUUUGGGAAUUGGGGAAAAAGAUUUCAGAGAGCUGAACAAAGAUGGAAAUGAGGCAGAUUCUCAGGGCAGAGGAGACAACCACUACCACCUCCCCCACUCCAACCUGAAAAUGCCUGUAUUUUUCCUACUGUGUGCAGGAAACCUCUCAAUCUGUCUCUAUCUCCUGUUUCCCUUCUGCUUCUGAAGUCACUGAGAAUACUAUUCCCACUGCUAUGGCUUAUUUUAAGAGUAAAUUGGGGGAGUUAAGGGAGUGUUAGAAACUUGCUACCACUGUGAGGAUGUGUUUUUGAAAGCCCAAAUUAUAACUGGAUAAUCCAUAGAUUAUUCCCAUUAAUGGUAAUUAGUUCUAUAGUGUUCUGCUAAAUUUUGGCUGAAUUUUUUGUUUUGUUCUUUUUGGAGGAGUGGCUGUUCAAGGGAGCUAUUCGUAUAAACAUAAGGAACUGCUGUUAAUAUAUCAGAAAGAGCAUGGUUUGGAAGCCAAAUGGCCUGAGUUAAGUAUCUGUUAACCUCUCUGUGCCUCAUUUUUCCCAUCUACAUAAUGGAAUAAUGUUUUCUUCCUCUCAGGAUCAAUAUUGAGAAAUAAAUAAUGUUUGUGCUAGAUGGGGCUGUUUCCCUUCCCAAUUACCUUUCAGAUUGUUUCAUAGGAAAUGCUUUAACUUUCUAAUAACCAAGUAAUACAAGAGAUUGUUUGGAAAGAUUCCUACCCUUCUUGAACUGCUUGUAUUAACAUGUCUCAUCCAUGGGUAUACUUUUGUCCUGGAGAAGCAUCCUAGUAGGGCAGUGUUUUUCAAACUACAGGUGGUUUUAAAAUCAGCUUACUAAAUUGACUUUUCUUUUUAAUGAGAUAAAUUUGAAAAUAUCAUACGUGAAGGCUGGAAGUGUAGCUCAGAGGUAGAUUGUGUGUUUAGCAUGCUGAGGCCCUGGGUUCAAUCCUCA